CCUACGGGAGGCAGCAGUGGGGGAUAUUGCACAAUGGGCGAAACCCUGAUGCAGCGACGCCGCGUGAGUGAAGAAGGAUUUCGGUAUGUAAAGCUCUAUCAGCAGGGAAGAAAAUGACAGUACGUGACCAGUAAGCACCGGCUAACUACGUUCCAGCAGCCGCGGGACUACGUAGGUGGCAAGAGUUAUCCGGAUUUAUUGGGUGUGAAGGGAGCGUGGACCGUUAUGGAAGUCUGGAGGGAAAGGCCGGAGGCCAAACCCGGGACUGCUUUGGAAACUGUGUAACUGGAGUGCAGGAGGGGCAGGCGGAAUUCCUGGUGUAGCGGUGAAAUGCGUAGAUAUCAGGAGGAACACCGGUGGCGAAGGCGGCCUGCUGGCCUGAAACUGACGUUGAGGCUCGAAAGCGUGGGGAGCAAACAGGAUUAGAUACCCCGGUAGUC
rnacentral:rRNA from 1 species